rnacentral:rRNA from 1 species
GACGAACGCUGGCGGCGUGCUUAACACAUGCAAGUCGAACGGAAAGGCCCCUUUGGGGGUACUCGAGUGGCGAACGGGUGAGUAACACGUGAGUAACCGGCCCUUGACUUCGGGAUAACUUCAGGAAACUGGGGCUAAUACCGGAUAGGAAUCCUUGCGGCAGGGUGGGGGUUGGAAAGCUUCGGCGGUUUUGGAUGGACUCGCGGCUUAUCAGCUUGUUGGUGGGGUAGUGGCUUACCAAGGCUUUGACGGGUAGCCGGCCUGAGAGGGCGACCGGCCACAUUGGGACUGAGAUACGGCCCAGACUCCUACGGGAGGCAGCAGUGGGGAAUAUUGCACAAUGGGCGGAAGCCUGAUGCAGCAACGCCGCGUGCGGGAUGACGGCCUUCGGGUUGUAAACCGCUUUCAGCAGGGGCGAAGCUUUUGUGACGGUACCUGCAGAAGAAGCACCGGCUAACUACGU